rnacentral:rRNA from 1 species
CACAAUGGGCGCAAGCCUGAUGCAGCCAUGCCGCGUGUAUGAAGAAGGCCUUCGGGUUGUAAAGUACUUUCAGCGGGGAGGGAAGGGAGUAAAGUUAAUACCUUUUGCUCAUUGACGUUACCCGCAGAAGAAGCACCGGCUAACUCCGUGCCAGCAGCCGCGGU